GGUUUAGUUUAGUUGAGUUGAGUUAAUUAGAAGGAAAAGUUUUAAUAUGUAUAGCUCAUUUCCCUAUAUCAAAUGCAUUCUCUCUCUCCUUCCUUCCAUCCUUCAUAUCCCUUUCUAUAAAUAUAUAAAUGAAGAUGCAAUUGGAUUCAACUCAUGUCCUUGCAAAAACCUUUCAAUCACUGCUGCUUUCAUAUUCCCUUCUCUACAAUCUUAGUCUUGGUAAAUUAAUUAUCUAAAAAAUCUAAGUUUCUUUUCACUUCACUGGUCUGUUUAUGAUCUCUAUAUAUACAUAGGCAUGCAUGGAUAAAUACAUGCAUUAAUAUUUUCUCAUUCUGCUGAAUUUGAUUUGAUUUGAUUUGAUU
rnacentral:misc_RNA from 1 species